rnacentral:rRNA from 1 species
GCAGGUCUACACAUGCAGUCGAGCGGAACGAGUUAUCUGAACCUUCGGGGAACGAUAACGGCGUAAGCGGAGGACGGGUGAGUAAUGCCUAGGAAAUUGCCCUUAUGUGGGGGAUAACCAUUGGAAACGAUGGCUAAUACCGCAUAAUACCUACGGGUCAAAGAGGGGGACCUUCUGGCCUCUCGCGUCAGGAUAUGCCUAGGUGGGAUUAGCUUGUUGGUGAGGUAAUGGCUCACCAAGGCGACGAUCCCUAGCUGGUCUGAGAGGAUGAUCAGCCACACUGGAACUGAGACAUCUGUUGACUCCUACGGGAGGCAGCAUUGGGGAAUAUUGCACAAUGGGCGCAAGCCUGGUGCAUCCAUGCCGGAUGUGUGAAGAAGGUCUUGGGUGUGUAAAGUCUUUCUGCCUGAGGAAAUGUAUGAAGGAAUAUUUCCAACCUUUUGCGUUAAAAACAGACAAAGGGCUGACAAUAUCCGUGCCACCCUUCUCGGAAUUUCGGAGGGUGCUGGCAUUCAUCCUAGUUAAUGGGGCUGAAUCACCUCCUUGAGGUUUGUUAAGUCAGAUGUGAAAGCCCGGGGCUCAACCUCGGAAUAGCAUUUUGAAACUGGCAGACUAGAGUAUUGUAGA